AUGUUUUUUUUUUUUUUUUAAGUGAAAGUUUCUUAAUUUAAUGAGGAUUUGCUGUACAGUGUGUAAUGUUUUACUCAGAUACACUUUUGCCUGAACAGUUUUCAAAACCCUCACUGUGGCUGCUGAGAUCAUUUUGAUAAAAAAAAAAAAGUGAAUAUAGAAUUUUAAAAUAUUGAAAAAAAACUUAUUAGAUGUCAUGCUGGUAUAUAAAUAUAAAUAAUAAUAAAAAUGACAGAUGCACAGAUAUUUUACUCAGCUUUAACCUAUGAAGUAAAAGAUAAAAUUAAACACAAUAAUCAUCAGGAAAUAUAAUGAAAUUUUGACAGACUGGACAUCAUUGUUUAGCAUUUUGCUAAUAUAGUAUGUACAGUAUAGCUUUCUGGCCAUUUGGGUCAUCUCUAAUUCUGACUUUAAUACAGUAUAUUCUCAUGAUGAUCUCUCUUCAUCUUAUUAAAGUGUAGUUAAUUGUAGAUAAGUCAGACUCCAGCCAUACUACACAUUUUUCAUUCAAGGGUUAAUCAUAAAAAUACACGAGUUUUCAAAUUGAGUAACAGUAUGAUUAGACGGCUACUUUAUACACAUGGUAUUGAUGAAUUAAUUAUCUUUCUUUUUUUCUUGUAAAACCUUUAGAUUGCAUGUUAAUAACUUUAGACUGACUUUCCAGUUUGGCUAAUUUGCACCAAAGUUUUCAUUAAACUGUGAAAGUAAUUCACUUCUGAUAAAUUUAUUUUAUUAUACAUUUAUUAUUAGCUUUUGAUUAUGUGAAGUGUCUGCCAUACAAGUCCUUGCAUAUGAGCUGUUACUAUAGAAGCAUAAUGUAUUAGAAUGAUUGCAUUAACAUAAAGCUAUCAUUCAAUGUACAGUCGGAACUUUCCUUGCUGUUACACGUGAAUAAUGUACACCUUUUUCUAGGGCUGCACAAUUAAUCGAAUAUCGAUCCCGAUUACGAUUUUGACUGAGAUAUUGAAAUUUAAAGUUCGUCCUCAGCUCACAGAAACCUCCACUGCAGAUCAAAUCAAGCGCUUCCUACACUUACAGCCAAUCACAGAGUGGCGCAGAGAUGACGUCAUUUUGUAGUGCCAAAACCCCAAAACGGAAUUAGCAUUUUAGCCCUCGAGCUGCCAGCUUCGCGCAAGGGGUAAUAAUGAAAUUAGCACGAUGCUAAAUGGCACUACAGAGGUUGUCGGGGACAUUAAACCUCAUCAUGCCGAACGGGAAAAAAAAAACAAAAAAACUUUGCAGAUAAACGCAGGGCUCUACAGUGCCACCAUUUCACUCGUAUUUGUGACUGAAAAGUAUUUUGUGCCUGAAAAGUAUUUUGUGCGACUGGAUAUAUUUAUUCGCACCGGUGCGAGUGACCUGUUCGGAGUUGUAUAAUACAAUCAGGAUAAAAACUACAGGAAGUCCAAAAUUUAUCUACACUGCGCAACAGUUACUUUCACACUGCUUUUCAUCACCUCAAUCAACUGAACAAGUGUGCAAAUACUGCAGAGAAGCCAUUAUGAUGAAAUGUAACACUGAACAUCUGCUUCAACUUCCUGAUCUCACAACCGCCAUCUUUUAUUGAUUCUGCAAAAUAAGCUGAACUUGCACCGGCUCAUGUAGACACAGCGGCUUCGCGUGGAGUAAUUAAUAAUAAUGCUAAUGCUACAAGUUGAGACCGAGCUCCCUGCAUCUCUGCUUCUAACAACUCCAACCCAAACAGAAAUAGACAAUGGAACAGCUACAUCUGCUUAGCUACACAAUUUUCACCUAAAUCACACACAUUUAAGUGGACUCGUGAAAGCAUGGAGCUCAAAAAUAAGGUCACUAUUUUAAGCUAGGAUAAAGGUGCUUCCACUGCCAUAAGUAGUAAAUCAGCACCAGUGAAUAGACGGGCUCAUCUUCUCCAGUUAAGUGUGAAUUCCAGCAGAGAUUAUGUGUCAGUUGAUACAAAACAGCCACAGGUGAGAAUAAUCGCACCUUUCACCAAGGACAUGCUGAUGAAAAGAGCCAGGUGGCAUGCAGACUGCAGGGUCAAGGGAGGGGUGGGUUGCAACGUUUUGAUUGUGAAGAGAUUUCUUCUCUUCCGGAAUAGCCAUAUCUACAAACAUAGUGGUCACACUCAUCACCCAGUUUUGAUGAGUGGAGCAAUGGCACCAAAAUCACCAAAGAGGAAAUUAUAGAAAAUGCUUUUACUACUUAUACAUAUUUUUGCUCUUAAUUUGUAUAAUAAAACUAUGAAGAUUUUAGCUAAGAUUCUAAAAAGCACAAUUUUAAACGUGAUAUCUAAUUAUAUUGAAAUUAUGUGCAAAAUUGUUUUUAUUUUACACUUGACCAAUGUUCCACAACAGACAGAAACAAUGCAAGAGUAGGAAACUGAGCAGGUUUUGAACUUUACUGUGGUUUCAAGUUCAUAGGCAAAAAAGACUGCCCCAAGGGUUACUUGUUCAUGCUAUCAGAGAGCUCCGGUGAAUCAGUGACUAUGGCUUGGUUGUAAAAGAUUUCUACCACAAGGAGGUGGCUGUAUAUUAUUAUAUUACACUAACUUUAUACAUCGCUAUCUCACUAUAUCGUAAAUAUGGAUUGUGUGAAAUAAUUCCAUAUCUGCACCUGGACUAGUUUUUAGUUAAGACAUUUUAGUUACAGCUGUUUUAAUCUCCUCCUUCAUCAUAUUCUCAACAAAUCAGCCUUUAUUUAAGGGAUAUAUUUGAUAGCAUUUUCCCUAAAACUGUACAUUAUGUUCAAAAGGCUCACAGUUAUAAAAUUAAAAAAUAAGAAAAUAAUUAAUAUCGGCUUCAAAGACCUAUCAAAUAUAUCUUCAAAUAGUUUCAUAAAAUGUAAGAGCCAAAUCCAUUAAUAAACUUUUAAUUCUGUUAAAAAUAAUAGAGAAUGCUACAAAGCUUUCCCCCACAAUGUCACUGUGUUUGCAUUUUUAUUAUAUAUUUUCAAGCUUUUUUUGUUCUGUGUUCAUGACUGUUAGUAAAUAUAUCCUCAAAUAGGCCAUAAACAAUGCUGCAAUGAUUUAGUUUAAUUCUGGAAAUAACUUUGUUUUUUUCUCUGUUUCCUCAUUGUAAUGUUCUGAGCUUUAAUUUCUGCUUUGCCUACUAGGCUAAUUUGCAUGUAUUUUAUAUCUGUAAAUAUUUUUGAAAAUUUAAAUUCUGGAUUUUUCUAUGCAUUUACUCAAAUCUCAAAUAAAUGUUUUUUUUUAAGUGCAAUUAAAAGUCUCAUUGUUUUC